rnacentral:rRNA from 1 species
UGGGGAAUUUUGGACAAUGGGCGCAAGCCUGAUCCAGCCAUGCCGCGUGCAGGAAGAAGGCCUUCGGGUUGUAAACUGCUUUUGUCAGGGAAGAAAUCCUUUGGGUUAAUACCUCGAAGGGAUGACGGUACCUGAAGAAUAAGCACCGGCUAACUACGCGCCAGCAGCCGCGGUAAUACGUAGGGUGCGAGCGUUAAUCGGAAUUACUGGGCGUAAAGCGUGCGCAGGCGGCUUUGCAAGACAGAUGUGAAAUCCCCGGGCUCAAACCUGGGAACUGCAUUUGUGACUGCAAGGCUAGAGUGCGGCAGAGGGAGAUGGAAUUCCGCGUGUAGCAGUGAAAUGCGUAGAUAUGCGGAGGAGCACCGAUGGCGAAGGCAAUCUCCUGGGCCUGCACUGACGCUCAUGCACGAAAGCGUGGGGAGCAAACNGGAUUAAUNCCCUGGUAGUCCACGCCCUAAANGAUGUGNAACUGGUUGUUGGACGGCUUGCUGUUCAGUAACGAAGCUAACGCGUGAAGUUGACCGCCUGGGGAGUACGGCCGCAAGGUUGAAACUCAAA